AAACUCUUCAGUCUAUCGUCUGUCACGAGGCUACCCAACUCAACUAGCGGAGUCAACGGCUCACGGUGGAAACUAUAGGAACAGGUCUUCCGCUUCAACUCGGGAACUGUUGCCAUCUCUAUCAGUAGACAAGCUCGGGAAUGUACCUGAGAAAUGAUAUGCAUGCAGAGAUUAAUUUUUUCUUCUUUUUUUUUCUUUUGAUUUUUUUUUAUAUAUAUUUUUUCAAUGCGUUUCUUUUGAAAAAUAAAUAUGCUAUGAUGCACAUGAUGCAGACACGGCUGGCUGGUUGUGCAAUCUCUGAUCACUAGGUCGAAGCUUCAGUCAAAAUCAGGACAUAAAUCCAACUUAAGGUCAACUGAACACUGUCUGAACACAAAGUCACCAUCAGAACCAAGUCACCAACAGAACCGAGUCACCAACGGAACCGAGUCACCAACGGUACCUGUAAUGAAUAACCCCUCCCCACUCACGGGUGUAGUCUAGGCCAGGGUAAAGCUGAGAGAAACGCAGCAUAAAUAACCUUUCGCAGAAUACUGUCAUAUACACACCCGAAGUAUGUAACGACAGCAUCCCACCAGGGUCUGAACUGCUCGUGAUAUCAAUGUUCCGCUAAGUGGCGCCAUACCACCCGCUUCCCAUGAAUCACUCUAUUCCUAGGUAUCCUAGAUUGCACUCAUGGUCUGGGUAUUGGACCUUUUACCU
rnacentral:lncRNA from 1 species